rnacentral:tRNA from 1 species
GUGUGCAAAGUGUUGUCGGUCGCACACCUCCCUUCCAAGGAGGAGGCGAGGGUUCGAAUCCCUCUGUGCACU